UACGGAGGGAGCUAGCGUUGUUCGGAAUUACUGGGCGUAAAGCGCACGUAGGCGGUUAUUCAAGUCAGAGGUGAAAGCCCGGGGCUCAACCCCGGAACUGCCUUUGAAACUAGAUGACUAGAAUCUUGGAGAGGUCAGUGGAAUUCCGAGUGUAGAGGUGAAAUUCGUAGAUAUUCGGAAGAACACCAGUGGCGAAGGCGACUGACUGGACAAGUAUUGACGCUGAGGUGCGAAAGCGUGGGGAGCAAACAGGG
rnacentral:rRNA from 1 species